UCACAGGACGUCCACUGUCUAACCAAGGCCU
rnacentral:piRNA from 1 species